CUUUAGAAAGAACCAUCUGAUCCAAGGAUUGGCUAGCUCCUUCUCAUGGCGUAUAUAACAAAUAUCGCAAGUGUUUUAUGCAUGGCACUUGCUCUUGUGGUAGUGUUUACGGCUCUCCAAUCAUGUCAUGCAACAGGAAGGCCCAUAGGUAAUGAGCAGGAGGUUUUCAAGGUGUGCUACGCGUCGCCAAAAUGUAACCUCGAGGAAUGCAAGAGUUAUUGUGCAGUCAGCCGUUAUGGUCCAUCAGAAGGCUCAUGUGACGUAUACAAUGGGAAGUUAAAAUGUUGUUGCCAAUAUUCUUAGGAGGCUCUUGCUUGUAAAGCUUAAAUGAAGAGUGCAUUGGUGCCCAUGAUCUGAUUUAUGUAAUCAUGCAGAAAACCCAAGAAAACAUACACCUUUCUUAUUUGUAAGGGUUUUUAAAACAGAGAAUGAAUAUAAUAAUAGUAUACGGUUAAAUA